rnacentral:rRNA from 1 species
UACGAAGGAUGCAAGCGUUAUCCGGAUUCACUGGGCUUAAAGGGUGUGCAGGUGGGGUAAUAAGUCAGUGGUGAAAGCCCCCGACUCAAUCGGGGAACUGCCAUAGAUACUGUUAUUCUUGAGUGUGGUUGAGGUGGAUGGAAUAUGACAUGUAGCGGUGAAAUGCUUAGAUAUGUCAUAGAACACCGAUCGCGAAGGCAGUCCGCCAAACCAUUACUGACACUGAAACACGAAAGUGCGGGGAGCAAACAGG